AGGAUUAACGAUUUUAUUAAACUAUUCGUCCC
rnacentral:piRNA from 1 species